GACGUAGGGGGCAAGCGUUGUUCGGAAUUAUUGGGCGUAAAGCGCACGUAGGCGGCUUUCUAAGUCAGGGGUGAAAUCCUGGAGCUCAACUCCAGAACUGCCUUUGAUACUGGAGAGCUAGAGUCCGGAAGAGGUGAGUGGAACUGCGAGUGUAGAGGUGAAAUUCGUAGAUAUUCGCAAGAACACCAGUGGCGAAGGCGGCUCACUGGUCCGGUACUGACGCUGAGGUGCGAAGGCGUGGGGAGCAAACAGG
rnacentral:rRNA from 1 species